rnacentral:rRNA from 1 species
AUGGCUGUCGUCAGCUCGUGUCGUGAGAUGUUGGGUUAAGUCCCGCAACGAGCGCAACCCUGCCUUUAGUUGCCAGCAGUUCGGCUGGGCACUCUAAAGGGACUGCCGGUGUUAAACCGGAGGAAGGUGGGGAUGACGUCAAGUCCUCAUGGCCCUUAUGACCAGGGCUACACACGUACUACAAUGGCCGAUACAAAGGGCAGCGACACUGCGAGGUGAAGCCAAUCCCGUAAAAUCGGUCUCAGUCCGGAUUGGAGUCUGCAACUCGACUCCAUGAAGUUGGAAUCGCUAGUAAUCGUGGAUCAGCAUGCCACGGUGAAUACGUUCCCGGGCCUU